ACGUCGUCCAUCGGUCGCGACCUUCCCCUCCUCCGGGAGAGGACGAGCACGCUCCGACACCCGAUCGCGAACGGUACGAGUCCCUUCCCGGGACCUCGAAGACUCCGGUCCUCGAAACCACCCCGGGGAGACACCAAAAAAAAACCGUAGCCCCCUCGGCGAAACAUCGAUCGAGGGAGGGAUCGCUCGUCGAUCCUUCCGAGAAACGAGAAUAACCUAGUCGACUACUUUCGACGACGGAUACCUCGGUUCCCACGCCGAUGAAGAGCGCGGCGAAACGCGAUAUGUCGUGCGAAUCGCAGAAUUCGGCGAAUCACGCAAUCCUCGAACGCAUCCGGCGCUCUCGGGUCUUCCCGGGAGCAUGCCCGUCUGAGCGUCGUUCCCACAAAUCCCGACCGAGCGACGAUCAAAAAGUCGUUCCUCCGACGGGUGAUCGGGAGUCUGCAGAGAUGCAGUCUUCUGGGAACGAGGCGCACCCCCUUGAGCCCCCAUCCGACGACGAGGGACCGGGUGCUUAGCUUCCGUCGAGAGCGCCCUCGGGUGCAACUCUAAUCGGGAGUGCAUGCGCCCUAGUCCAUCCAAACUCUCGUCGACCUUGGGAUAAGCUCCGGGGUGGACGGACGCCGUCCGUGGUCCGUGAGACCAGGGUCGGAGGAGUAAAAAUCCUCCCCUCUCUAACCACGACCUCAGAUCGGGCAA
rnacentral:rRNA from 1 species